UCGCUACUACCGAUUGAAUGGCUUAGUGAGACUCAGGGACUGUUGCGUAGGUUGGGGUUUCCUAACUUUCGCAUCCGGAAACUGAUUCAAACUUGAUCAUUUAGAGGAAGUAA
rnacentral:rRNA from 1 species